rnacentral:rRNA from 1 species
UACGGGGGCAAGGGCAGUGUUGGUCGAAUCAUUGGGCGUAAAGCGCGUGUAGGCGGUUCGGUAAGUCUGCUGUGAAAGUCCAGGGCUCAACCCUGGGAUGCCGUGGAUACUGUCGGACUAGAGUACGGAAGAGGCGAGUGGAAUUCCCGGUGUAGCGGUGAAAUGCGCAGAUAUUGGGAGGAACACCAAUUGCGAAGGCAGCUCGCUGGGACGUUACUGACGCUGAGACCGCGAAAGCGUCGGGGAGCAAACAGGAUUGAGAUGACCCUAGUACCGUCGCAGACC